UACGAAGGGGGCUAGCGUUGUUCGGAAUCACUGGGCGUAAAGGGCUCGUAGGCGGUUUGUCGCGUCGGGAGUGAAAACCUCGGGGCUUAACUGGUGGCUUGCUUUCGAUACGGGCAGACUGGAGGUAUGCAGGGGAGAACGGAAUUCCUGGUGUAGCGGUGAAAUGCGCAGAUAUCAGGAGGAACACCGGUGGCGAAGGCGGCAUCCUGGACCGAUACUGACGCUGAGGAGCGAAAGCCAGGGGAGCAAACGGG
rnacentral:rRNA from 1 species